GGCCCCGUGGUCUAGCGGUUAGGACAUCACCCUUUCACGGUGGUAACAUGGGUUCGAGUCCCGUCGGGGUCACCA
rnacentral:tRNA from 1 species